UACGUAGGGGGCAAGCGUUGUCCGGAAUCAUUGGGCGUAAAGCGCGUGUAGGCGGUUCGGUAAGUCUGCUGUGAAAGUCCAGGGCUCAACCCUGGGAUGCCGGUGGAUACUGUCGGACUAGAGUACGGAAGAGGCGAGUGGAAUUCCCGGUGUAGCGGUGAAAUGCGCAGAUAUCGGGAGGAACACCAAUUGCGAAGGCAGCUCGCUGGGACGUCACUGACGCUGAGACGCGAAAGCGUGGGAAGCAAACAGG
rnacentral:rRNA from 1 species